AUUUUGCAUUGUCCAUCUCCAUAAUUCCUCCAACCCUUAGAAUGGUUGUUUUGUUUUUCAGAACUAAUUGCCGUUUUUCUUCCCUUACAAACUUUCUCUCUUCCCCUAUUGAGGACCACCUACACAAAUCUGUAGUUUGGAGACAACCAUUUCCUAUUAUCUACACAAUUGUCCUGAAUAAUUAUAACUGUCACUAAAUCGCCUCCUCUAUCAAUUUCCACGGUUCUAACAUAGUAGGAUCCUAGUGAUUAUGUUCAUAUUCUUUUCAUAUGUAAUCUUCUCCAGCUUUUAUAAUUCAUACUCAUUGUAUGUGCUUCACCCAACAUUGUCGUCGCUCUUGCUUUGCAAAUUCAACGUCAACUAUUGGAGAAUAGUAAUAGGCACUGGGGACAUACCCAUUCGGUGGAGCAUAUUAUGCUUCCAUUCAGUGAACCUCUUCCACGACCUUAACAUAACCCAAACACAAUCUUGUGAAAAUCCCCCAAACCAUCCCACUCUGGAACAAUUUCAGUCGGGGUAGUUUAGAUAUAUCCCCGCCAAUCACUGAAUUGCUCGGUAAUUAAAAUGCUGACAUGAUACCCUCUUAUAUUUGGAAUAAAUAGAUAUAUAUAUUAUGCAUAUUUAGGUACCUAAUCAAUUUCGAUGCCACCAACAAAUAGGAUACGGGAAAAUAAAAAAAUAACUAUAACGAUAGAUCAUCCAAUUUUACGACUCAGUUGUGGUGGCCAAAUGUUACCAUCCUCCAAAUAUCUCAAUAGAACUGCAAAUACAUCAAACAUGCUUAUUACAGUUUUACAAGGCCAAAAAUAAAAUUUCUAGGCCUUCAACACCCCCUUCCAGUGCCUUCUCUAGAACCAUUACGAAACUUCCAAUACCUUGUCAGCAACCAUCACCAGUGAUUACAUACCUCAUUCUUCUAAAUCCUAACACAACAUAAACAAACAAAAUACAAACAUGUUUAACCAUUGUAAACGUAAUAACUAACUUAUAUAACAAUAAAAAUUUACGCUAUAUAACUAUACAGCCUCCACAUCUGUUUCAAUCUAUGAUUCCUCGUCCACAAUCUUCACUUCUGCUGUACAGGUAGAUGCCACAGGUAUUAAAUAAAUACUAAUGAGACCACAAUUAAGUCAGUAGUACUUGCGUUUAACAAAUGAAUAUUUUAUAUUACAGUGUAAACCAUAUACCUCCACAACGAGCACACAUCCAUUAUUCAACUUUCACUACACAUCAUAGCCUCAACAUGCCUUGAUGAAUACACUACUUAUUGGACUCAAUGAAUUUAAAUAAUGUUGGUAUCAAUAACACCUCCACUAAUCAAUACAUAAACCAUAACUCACUUUACUAUCUUUUACUAACCAAAGCUCCAAUGCAAUAGUCCGCGUGUAUAUACCUAUAAACAAAUGAAUGCCCCCCAUCAAUUUUCGUUUCUUCAUCGAUUAUAAAGGCAUCCUACAGAAAAUUCGAACAAUUCACUUUUCUAACUUUUCCAUGCAAUCUCUUUCAAACCAAUCCUCUAUCUAACCAUAACUUUAAAUUUAUGCAAGUCUUUUCAUCUUAAAGCCGAUAAAUGUAUUAUGCGUGGCAAACAAAGACAAUUAUAUUAUACAUAUACUUAAAGUGAAUGACCAACCAAAGCACACGCCUCACUAACAAAGUGGUUACAGAUCGAACCACUAAUAUUAUGCCAUUUUUUCCAUUUGUUCUUCGGUGACUCUGUAUGUAUGUAAUUAACCAUUAUUUUUAUGCACCCACUGUCGAUAUUUACUAAUAUACAAUAAAAAAAUUACAUCUACACAAAGUAUGAGCCACCGAAAAUCAAAAGCAUCCAUUGAAACUAUGUUUCUUUCCUUAACAAUUAACCCAUAAAUAAGGUUUAACAUGUCAAUGAUUACCCCACUGCUCAAACCCCUUUACUGUAUUUAUUUCAACCCCUAUACUAUAUUUAUUUCAACCUGAGCAAACCCAGCCAUUCACCUCUUCGCAACCUAGGCAUUUCGAACACCACAUCUUCGAAAUCAACUACAAAAACGCAUUCACAAACAUGAAGCCUACCUAUGCAUGCGAAACGACUCUUCCAGUGCCUGCAAAAAUGCCAGAUUCAUAAUACCAACAAGGCCAUCUUCAAUAAUACAGACAUCAAUAGAAUAUAAUUUCAUAAAUCGGCAGCAACAUUUUUCUUACGGCAAAAUCAAAAUCACGACCACCAAAAAACACACAUUCAUUUACGAUUUAAGGAAAGAAUCUUUACCCUUCCUUGCCUAACGAAAUUUCCGGUUAUUCCCCUCUCUCGCAAAUGUCAGAUUUGAGAUUCAAAUUUGUUUCACAUCCUAUUCUUGUAUUUUUUUUUUUUCCAUGGACUUCAAGACCUUCAUUAGACAACCGGUUUAAACGGUUGUUGUUACUACCUGCGUCCGCUCUCCAAACUUUUAUUUAAACCGUUGGAUUGAACAUACUUAUAUCCAACGGCUUAACAGAAUAAAGACAAACCACAGUGGCACGGUGCCACUGUGGCACCACAGGAUGACCCACAUAACAUAGAGUAGAUAUUUUGAAGUGAAAAGCAGAGCCUUUACUGUUGCUUGCCUUAUCAUCUUUUAAAACUAGAGUUAUUAUUCUUAUAUUUUUAAGUAGCCAACGGAUAGUAGCCAACUCAUCUGUGUUCUCUAUUAUUGAAUUUAAAGAUCAAUGAUUUGGGUCUGCCUACCGUGCAACAGUUGCACGGUAUCCCAUUUUUUGUCUUUUUUCAACUCAGCCAAUGGAUCAAUGGUUAAAGUGUUUAACGGCCAGGAUGUGUUCAAUUGGUUAUUAACACUUAAAUCCUUACUGUUUAUUACAAAAUCAUAAAAGCUAAAAGUUUUUAAAUAUUCACUUACAUAAUUUUUUUUGUUUUAAAUUUUUUAAAGUUUGAUCCAUUGACUUAAUUUGAUCAUAAAAAUAAUUGAUGGUGUAAAUAUAAUAAUGUAAUAUCACAUAAAAUUUUUAAACACAUGAAAAUUUGAUAAAUGUAAAUAAUAUUUUUUGUUAUAUAAUAUAUAUUUAAUGUAAAAUAAAUAAAUUGAAUAUGUUUUAAGAAUAUAGGUUAUUAACCUUUAUACUUUAGAAAAUUAUAAAAUAAAAAAGGUGAAAUUUCAAAAUAAGAAACAUGUAAAAAGUCUUAGGUUGUAAAAUUUUAUUAUUUUAAUAUUACAAAACUUUACUUUUUUAUUACAUUUUUGUUUUUAGCAUUAGUUGACAUGUUAGUUUAUUUAUACAUACAAUAUGUUAAUUUACCUAUAAAAUAUCAAUAUAUAUAUAGCUCAACAAAGUUAUAGAAAGAUAAAUAAAGAAUAAUAUAAAAGGAAGUUAGUUUAUUUUUGAAGAAUAUUUCAAAAGCAUUUGAGCUUCAUAUUUCUUGAGAAUUAUCAUUUUUUAAGAUAUUUGAGCUUGUGAAUCUUGUUGUAAUGAUAAUUUAUUAUUUAUUCUUGAUUAAAAAUAAUUGAAUAGUAAAUUUAUUGAUUUCCAAAUGCUCUUUUAAAUAUAGGGUAGUUGGUUCAUUUUUAUUGUAUUAGCUUAAACUUUGUGUGAUAGCUAAUCAACCAUUGUAAAAGAUCUACUAGGAUUAUUUUUACUUUCUCUACAUCCCUCUAGACCAUCACCACUCAAAAAGUUAAAGGUCCAUUUGGCACACUAUAUUAUAUUGUAUUAUGUAAUACACAUGUAUUAUAUUAUAUUAUAUUACAUUAGUAGUAUAUUAUAAUAAUUAUAAUAAAAUUAUGCAACAUUUGGUAAUUGGUAUUAUCCUGUACUACAUUAAUUUUGUACUAAUAUUAAACUAAAAUUAUUUAAAUUUAUUAUUAAUUAUAUUAAAUUAUUAUUUUCAUAUUAAUUAUUUUUAAAUAAAUAUAAUAUAAUAUAAUAUAAUAAUAUUAUAGUAUAAUUUAUUUUUAUAUUUUUUAUUUAUUAUAAUAAAAAUAAAAAAUAAUUAAAAUAUAUGUAAUGCUUAAUUAAGGCAAAAUAAUAAUAAUGACAGUGGUAUUAUUUAAUAAUCAAAACAAAAAAAUUGUAAAGUUUAAUGAUGAUGACGAUGACGACGACGACAACAUUAAUAUAAAUAUAAUAAUUAGAAUAAUAAGAUUAAUAAAUUUAUUAAUAUUAAUAAAAUAAUAAUUCAGUAAUAAUUCAGUAAUAAAUUUAAUAUAUUUUAAAAAUAGUGAUGGUAAUAAAAUCAAUAAAUAAUAAUGUAAUGAUAACUAAUUAAAGUAAUCAUAACAAUUAAAAUAAUAAAUUUUAAUAAUAACAAUAGUAAUAAUGACAUUAAUAAAUAAUAAUAAUAACAAUUAAAUUUUUUUUCAAAAGUCAUUUUAUAAUUUUAUCCAGAGAAAAGGACCUAUAUAUAAAGAUUUGUAACUUAUAGUAUCUAUUCAGUUUUCUUAUAAAUAUAGGGUAGUGUAGUGUAAUUGUUGGAAAAAGACAAAAUUCAGUGAUACCGUAUAACUGUUGCACGGUAGGUAGACCCCAAUGAUUUAUGUUAAUAAAUAUUUUGUUAACUAUCAAAGUUUUUAUUUCAAAAUUACUGCUAUAAUUCAUUAAAUUUUCAAUUUUUCCUUUUUCUAUUCACACAACAGAUUGAUUUGCCCUCCAAAAAAAUGUAUUAGAUUGUUUAAUAUUGUAACAUUAAGAAACUUAUAAUAAAUUUUUUAAGAGAUAAAUAGAGAAUGUCAGUCUCGCAUCUACUCAAAAUUAAUAAAUAUACCACUAACUCCUUAUUAUUUUUAUAAUAAUUAAUAAUUUUCUUAGCAGUAUAAUUUUAUAGUAUUAUCCUUAUUUGUAAGUACAUUUUUAUUCAUUUUUAUUAUAAAUUAAGUAAAUCAUAUCAAUAAAAAUUAAAAGAACACAAUAUGGUUUGGUGUGAAUAAAAGAUUGAAAAUAAAAAUAUUUUUCUUAUUUUUUUUGUUAUUUUUAAAUGCUUUUCUUGUAAUAAAUGUACAUUUUAUAUUCUUAAGAUGAAUUUUGAGUAAAUGACUCAUUUACUCACUUUUUCUUUAAAUUUGUGUUAGUAGGAGGAUUUUUAGAUAUAUUGAAAAUUGUAAGGUAGUAAGUAAUAAUAUAAUAAUUUUAAUAGAGAAAAAUAAUUAAUUUUAAGACAUUUCAGAAGAUAUUUCAAUAUGCGGUGGACCACAUCCUUGAGUUUUCAUUGUCUCACUCAACUAAAAGGACAAAAUAUUGAGUCAUGAAGGACUCAAUUGAUUGUUAAUUUUACAGCAAUUACCUUUUUUUUUUCUUCUUUCUUUUUUGUUCUUAAUUAUUUUGAAAUGGUAGGUAGCAAUUGCUUACAUCAAAAUAUUUAGCCUCACUCGACAAAGUAUCUGAGGCCAAAAUGCCAAAAGAUGGGACACCCACAUGUGCAUCUAAUUACAAAAUCCAAAGUUAAUGAAAAAGAAAAAAAGAAAAAGUAUAAAUGAACGGUAUUCGCCUCACUUUCAAACAUGUUCAACAUGAAUUUCCUUUUACCAAAAGUAAAUUUCCUCUCGGAUUGUCCUUAUUACAUCAAACGAAUGAUGACGACAUUCUCUGUCCGUUUCUGACUCUUUGCUUUUCUCUCUCACAUCACGAGACACCUCGUUUCUAACUAGGGUACCACCAUCAUAUUUAACUGUUGGGUCUUCCUACUAUGCAGCUGGUGUAUGCAUGAUUCCUUGUGACAUGACAUACAGUCAAUUAAAUUCUGACAUGCUUGCAAUAAAGACUAUUAAAGUGACCGGUUAUUCCGGUUGAAUUCACAAGAUCUCUUGUUUGUGCGUUUAUGUUCCAAGUUGCUUACUAUGUGUUACAAGUUCUCUAAUUAGUCUGAUAUUAUCGCAACUGUUGCUCAAUAAUGUUACAUGUUUUAUAAUAUGUCACUGGUACGAUCGCUGUCACAAAUUUAGAACAAAAAGUUUCCAAUAAAAUAAGUUAUUUAAUUAAUAAAAUAAGAAUAAAAUGAAUUUGUAAAAAAAAUUUAAAUUAAAUUUUGAAUUAUUUUGACCAAAAUUUAAUUUUUUUAAUUUGUUUAAGAAAAUGCGUUGUAAUUGUCUUGUUUUAAUUGGAAAAUCAAUGAAAAAAUUAUGUAACAGACAAAAAAAAAAAAAAGCAAAACGGUUUGUUUUGUACGGAGGCCAUAGAUUCCAAUAUUUCCUUCACGAAAACUACAAAUAAUUAUCAAAGGCAUCAAUUUCUACACUCUCACCGAGCAAUACUUUUAGGUAGCGUUUAUUUUUUGGAUUGGAGUGGGAAUCCUGAGGAGUGGGAAUCAUAGGAUUGGGAGUGUGGAGUGGGAGUGUGGAGUGGGAGUGGGAGAAUGUUGUUUACUUACACUAGAAUGGAAGUAUAUAAUGGAGAUCAGAAUUCAAUUUAUGUGUUUACUUUAUCUUAGGUUGGGAAUAAAUAGUUUCAAAUUACAAUUUUAUCUUUAUUUAAAGAAUUAUAGUUUUUAAUUACAAAGCUAAUAAAAAAUAUAUUUAAUGAAUAAAUAUUUAUUUUAUUAUAUUUGUAAAUUUAUAAUAAUUAUUAAUAUUCUUAAUUAUGAACAUCACAUUUUUUUUAUUAAUUUUAAUUCUAAUAUAAAAUGAAAUGUUAUUUUAUUUAAUAUAAUUAUAUUAAAUUUAUUAUUAUAUAAACUAAUAAUAUAAUUUUAUUUAGUACAAAAUUAAUAUUUUCUUAGAAUAACCUAUUUAUUAUUAUUAAUAUUAAAUAAAUAUAAUACUAUUAUUUUUAAAAUAAAUACAAUAAUAUUAUAUUUAUUAAUUCUCUAUUAAUAUAAUAAUAUUAUUUUAAAAUAAUUUUAACUUAGAAUCAAUGCAAAUUAUUAUUUAGUUAAAUAUAAUAAUAUUAUUCAAAUAAAUAUAAUAUUAUUUAUUUUAUUUUAUUAAUUAUAAAUAUUAAAUUGAAUUAAAAUUUAAAAAAAAAUGUAGAAAAGGGAGAGGUGGGAGUGGAUUCCCACUCCCACUUCUCACUCCAAAAAUGGAUAGGGCCACAGAGUGGGAUUCUCAAUCCUUCACUAAAUAAGUGAAAUAAACACUAAAGUGUGAGAAAUUCACACUCCUCACUCCCACUUCAAAAAAUAAACACAACAUUAACCCAGAAGAAAGUGUAUAAACCAACCCCAAUCUGUCCAUCAAUGUCGUCAACCUCAUACAGCAUAAAGAAAAUCUGUCCAUUAAACCGCCAUUUAAACCGUCUUUAUUGAGCCAUUAGACUAUUCGUGUCAUCUUCCCAUCUCGUUGUAGUAUUUUGCCUUUCAAAUCUAGUUAUCCAUUGGGGAAAAUGGGGACCAAUCUGCAAGUCUUUAAAAUAAAAAAGAAACUUUAAUUGGGCACUAUGUUCACGGUGGUGGACCUAGCAUUAGCUAUUUGUAUUUUAAAAAUUAUUUUACACACUCUAAUUUUAAUAAGAAUAUAUAUUACAAAAUUACUUAUCAUAUAAGUUACUGGACAAUAUAUUAUAAGUCAACAUUAUAUAAUUACUUUGAACAUUUAUAUAGCCCAAUCCUAAUUCAAUUUAUUACUCUCAUGAUUAAAUAUAAAAAUUUUUAUUUCCAACUUCUUAAUUAAUAUGUAGAUGAAUAAUAAGGAAAUUAACUUUGAGAAAAAAUUAAAUACAAAAUAUGUGUAAUACUUUAAAAAAAAUAAACAAAAGUAUUGCACAAGAUUUUUUUUGGGGGGGGGGGGGCUUGGCCAUUCUUCUUCUUCUCCUUCUAUCUCUCUUUUUUUGUAGUAUUUAUGGAACAUUUUCUAUUGUUAUAUUCUCAUUGCAAGUUAUUUUGGGUGUAAAAUUCAAUAUUGAAAAUAAAUUAAAUAAAAAAUUAGUAACUAAAAUUAUGUUAAAUUAUUUUUUAACUUAAUUUUUAGUUAUAUUAUUAGUAUAUGUUAGAUCUCUUAAAAAUCGAGUGUUGAAUAAUUUUAUUAGUUUUUUAAACAAAUAAAGUUAAAUAACUUAAAAAAUUUAAGUAAGGAUAUUUUUAAAUUUUUAAACAGUAUACAAAGUAAAGUUUAUUUUCUUGUCAGUGGCAAAUGAUCACGACAAGAAAUCUGAAGUAGAAACAGCAGAGCUCAACAAAUCACUAAGAGAAAAUAAGACCAAUAACCAAGCAGAUAAAAGAAAAGCAAAAUAACCCAUCUCAAAAUCACCACAUGCACAAUUUAAGGGGUUUGUGACAUGGGUUUAAGCAUGAUUUAACAAGUGCCACCUGUGAAUUGUCAGAGAUUGUAUUUUCAUACACAUGUCAAAUUUUCAAGUCCAACAAAUUGUUAUCUUUCUAAAGAGGCUAAUAUAUUAUUAUCUAUGCAUAGCAUGCUAUAAACAAUUCAUAUUACUGGGCCUUUGUUUUGUGUACACAACAUAUGGACAGAGGAACAAAUGCCUGAGCUAAAAUCAUCAUAUUCCAAAAUAUUCUAUUAAAUCAGCACCACAAAACGCGAACGCUAAACAGAAUUGGAGCAAUUUACCAAAGCUAUUUGUCACGCAAAGCACUAGUACCUCAGAACCCAAUUUGCAAAAAAGCACCAAAAAUGAAAAAUAACAAAUGCCCAGAUGAAAAAUCAGGAAAAAAAAAAGCUCAAAUCCAAAUUACAACCCCAUAAGCUGAGUCGUUCUCUUCGAACUGAAUUAAAAAAAUUAAAAAAAAUUAAAUAGGGAGAUUGACCUCAAACUUUGGAAACAGAAGCGACAUCGAUCUGUUUCUUGUCUGGAGUGUCCAUUUCUAUAAUCUACUUUGUCCGUUUUCAGUCGCUCUGCCACAGAACUUCUUCCCUCUGAAGCUGCAGCUCACACACACUUGCAAAACGAAAGCAUUUUUUAUUGAUUGAGAGGCGGGAAGGCGGGAAAAUGAGAGAAAUUUGCAUUUGUUUUCUCUUGGUUUGGUCACACCUGUGCGGGCCCCAGCUCGACAAGCGGUAUUAUUACUAUUUGUAUAAUUUACAUGACGCGUGUCACGCAAUGACGAUAAAAAUAUAUAUAUAUAUAUUGUUAAUUUUUCACUUAACAUUGAAAUAUCAUAUAAUUUUUCUAAUUUUAUGGUUAUUUUCUCGCCCUUAUGCCACAUUCUUUUGAUCAAAUAAUACAGUAAAAUUUUUCUAUAAUCAUAAUAUUAGAGCCAAAUUAACUUUAUUUCUGUAAAGAGGCUAUAGCUUAAUAAAGGUAAAACUAUAAAAAAUAUUAUUUUGACUCAGUUAUCUUUAGUGCAAGUGAUAUAAAGUACAAAUAUAUGAUAAUUAAUUAAUGAACUAUGUCAAAUACAAUAUGCUGACAAUGAUAAAAAAGAUAGACAUAAUUUCAAGAAACUAAUACAUAUAUUUAUGUAGUGCUGGGAUUAUACAAAAUUAUCUUAAAAGUGUAAAUAGUAAAGUACUAUUCUGAUUAAUUUAAAAAAAAUAUUUUAUCUUAAUCUUUAAUGCAACAUAGCUUUUUUUUUUUUCUUAGCAACAAAGCAUUGUUCCAAAUAAUUAUUAUUGGAUUCAAAUCAUGUCCUAGGCAUUUUUUCUUCUAGUCGUCUUUAACUUUUAAUGAUUUAUUGGCAUGUGUCAAUCAUUAAUGAAAUUAAAUAACUAAGACUUUGUUUUAAUUAACGUUUACAUAAAUAGACAUCAAAACUCACAUGUGAUUCUUAUCAAAUUUUUUCCUGCAAAUUCUUUUCCUCUCAACUAUUCAUAUUUUGAUAUUAAUUUCCAGCAAAUUAUUAAAAAAAAGAAGAAGCGUAAAAUGGAGAAAAGUGAUUGACAAUAAGAUUUGCAUCUUUAUUUCAAAAUUUUCCUUUCUUUGCUAUUUUUGUGGGUUCUACAAUUGUUGUUUUCACUCUCAGCUGCAGUUCAAUGAACUCUAUUAAAUAAUUAGUUUUUAAACUACAAGUAGCUUUGGAACAGCUCUUAAAUUGAUAUAACUUCUAUUAUUAUGUAACUUAGCAAGGUCAGAUAUUUUAAUAAUAGCACAUCACUAUUGUUUCAUGUGAAUGAUGCAAUUGGAUUAGCCAAUACAUACCGUCAUCCCCGGGAGAUGCUAUGGCAAUAGCUUACUCUACCGUGCCAAUGUCAUUAGUAUUAAUCUGUCGAACCUAAGACCAGAUCUAAGUUGAUCUAGAUUCCCCAAGAUUGCACACCACACAGUGAUUAAUGAAUCAAGAACAAUAAACCAUCAAAGAAUCGCAAACUUACAUGUCGGGUUACAUGUAAUAAAUGUUUUAAUUAUUAGAUGAUUCAUAAUGUUAGACCAUUUUUUGUAUGUUUUGUAAUCUACGUUUGAUAAUUUAAUUAGCUGAUAAACACUUGAAUAAUAUUAUUUCAUUAACUAUGUCAUUGAUCCCCAGGAAAAAAAAAAAAAAAAAACCCAAUUUGGGAUGUUAUACAUUACUUUUUCAUUACUUCCCAUUUUAGAUUAAUAUUUAUCACAUAUAUUCUUAGCAACUUGUAACCCUUUUUGCUAAGGGUGAAAUGUGUUUGUUACCCCUUCUAUUUCUGAGAUUGUCCUUACAAUAAGGAUGCCGGCCACAAUGUCAAAAACUGCUAUCUCUAGGUGUAAAUUCCUUAUAAAAUUCUUUUUUAAUUGAAAUUACUUAAAUAAUUGAAGAUAAAUUAAUUUUUUAUUUCAUUCAAAUAAAAAAAAUCAAUUAAACACUUCAAUAAGCUAUCCUUUUAAUUUUUUUUUACACCCAUCCAGUUUCAUAAUUUAUAUUUAUAAUUUAAAUUUUAAUGGGAAUAUUUUUUUGAAAAAUUUUAAGAAUUAAGAAUUAUGGGGAUAAAAAUUAUGUAAUAAGACCAAAAUAAUUUAAAAUUUUAAAAUUUGCAUGUAUUAUAAACAAAAACUUGAAAGAAAUACUCUUUUCAGGGUGAAAUUUAAUGAGAAAAAGAUUAAUUUUAAUUUAUGAAUUAGUAUUUUAUAAGUUAAACUGAGGUAUUUCAAGAAAUAGAAUUCAAAAGGCAUGGGAACGAGGGCCUUGGGUUUCAUUUUGUUUUGUAUGAAUUGGGAAAAAUACACGGACAGACAAAGGGAGCAGUCAUUAUAAUGCUGUGGAGCUUGUCGGAGAUUCCCUGCCCAUUUGUAGCUUAGAAUCCUGGGGUUUUGUUCAUGUCUUUUCUCUUUCCCACUUUCUCAUAUUGCUGUCUCAUAAGAGAAAUAGUCAUACAUAGUUGGUUAGGCCUCCAGUCCAUUAACUUAAUAAUGAAUUUUAUGAAAAUUGAUUAUCUCAUUGGAAUUACAUAGAUAUUGGAAAACAUUACUCCAGCCCCACCAUCCCAACCAUUUACUUAGUUCAUCAGUAAAAGCUGGAUUUUCCAUUUGUUCUUGAGAUUCAAAUUAAGGCAGCAAGUUGCUCAUUCAAUAUUAUCUAUGUAAUCCUGUAAAAGUGAAGGGCGUUUAGAUGUGGAAAAACCUUACUCCUGCCGCAACACCUCAAACAGAUUGUGAUCAGACAAGACUUAGUUCAUCAUUAGCGGUAGUUGGAGCUUCCAUUUGUUCUAGAGAUUCAAAGGCAGCAAGCUGCUUCCUCAGUGCUACUAAUUCUUCCCCGGCAUUGCAUAUGUAGCCUGAGGCUUGUCUGCCAGACAAAGUUGCUCCUUCCAUACUAUCUAUGUAAUCCUGUGAGAGUGAAACCAUUUAGAAGACAUAUCUCUUUUUUUUUUUCAAUAUUUGGAAUGAAACAAUUAUAUACAGUUACCUGUUUUGUAUAUGAGCUGGCGAGGAAGAAGUUCUUCACUGGUAUCUUUUGAUCAGGUCUGAAGGGGUCUUUACCAGGUCCCUCACCUCACAAAGAUUGCCGGAUUUUGACGACAGAUAACCAAAUAACUUCUAAACCUUGGGAUGAUGGAAAUAGAGCUCAAACCUAAUAAAAGGAACCGUGAAUGGAUAGUAUGGACUCAUGUAUAUUAUCCAGAAAGUUGCAUGACCUUUUUUGGUACUCAGGUCACUAAAAAAUGUGAGAUAAACAUCUAGGAUAAGAAAAGCAAAAAAGCAUAACCUAAUACGUAUUAUAUGAAUUGAAGGUGUCACUGAACGCUACCAACCUGCUUUGCCACUCUCCUUCUGAUUUCAUCAUUUGGUAAGGGCAUAUAAGGAUCUCCAGGCGUCAAAAUGCAUCUGAAAUAUAAUAUGGCUAUAGUAAGUAACACAGAAUACAAAGACACUUAGCAAAAGGAAGUCAAUCAGAUUCCAUGCACAAAAAAUAACUAAUAAUGACGAGGAUAAGAAAUUUUUCUUGCUGGAGCAACGAACCUUGCCCUUCUCUGUAGUAGUCUUCUGGUGAAGUGAGUGCUAGAUCUGCAAAGCAAGAUAAAUCUGCAUCUGGAGUAUAUGAAAGGUUAUCUAACCCCACAGCUUGCCUCAAUUGUCUACAUGUUCAAAACAAGGAUCUGUUAAAAAAUGGAAAUUUCUUCAAUGCAUUAGUAAAGGGAAGUGAAGUGAAAGCUGAUUUCUUAGGCCUUCACAGAGCAUCAUGUGUUUGAAUUCCGGUAACCUCACAAAAAAUUAGAGCAUCACCUUGACCGUUCUAGGUCUUGCAACUCAGUAACCCAACCAUUGCAUCUAAGCUGCACUGUGACAACAGGAACUCCAACUAGCUCAUAAAUAUUGUUGAAAAUUUUCAUUUCCCUCCACGAUGAUGGAGGCAAACUUUUAAUUCCAGGGACAUCACAUGCAGCCAUUAAAUAAGAAGUUGAAUAAAGAAAAAUCGUUCAACUAAAUGAUUCAGGAGUUAAAAAAAAAAAUGUAGAAGUAGAAAUAAAUAACGAAGAUUUAACCAUAAACCUGCAACAUAUGCAUCAGCUUGCACAACCUUCUUGUCAGUGGCCUGAAAUAGAAUGAGAAAUUGAAAGACAGUAAGCAUUAAAGAAUAAACUCAAAGAAGCUGCUUCUAACAGAUGAUAUAAACAGUAAAUUUACAAAUGUCAGAUCAUUGCAUUAGCUCUAUGCCUCCAUCAGAGGGAAUAUUAAUAGAUGCAUAAAAAAAUAAUUAGAGCCACAUGUUAAACAAUUUACCUUAGAAGUAGCAAGUGCUUUGACAAAUUUUUCCCCGUUAGCAGAUUUAUCAUAAAGUAUCUCUCUGCAUCCCCACCUAAGAUGGAACCUGUUCUCACAAGAACAGAUCCCAAGGUUGGGAAAAUCAGUUCAUCAUAGGAGAAAACAAAGAAGAUUAACAAAUCACUACAAUGGUGUGAACCCGUAAAUACAAACGUACCUGCCCCCUUUAUCUGUGAUAUAUUUUCUUAUGGGCCCACUCAAAUAAACAUCCGGAGAACCCUUGAGCAUCAGCAAUAGGGAAGCCUCGGUCUUAGUCGCAAACAGUGCAAAUAUAGUGAGCAUACAACGAGCACUGAUGUUAUCACAAUCAAUAAACCCAAGGGCAUACGCAACAGGAUCCCACAUUCUUUGGAACCCUUGGACAAAAACCAAUCAGAGAAGCUUAUCUGUAAGAAGAAAUGAAGUUUUAGGUAAAAUGACAAUCUGUAAGAACAGGGAUUGAAAUUCAACAAACAAGAAAAUAUGAUGUCAUUCUUACACUAUCCAAAUCUCAUAUGUCCUUCAAGGCUCCAUCAGGAUCAACAAGUGCCUUUACAACAGCACUCAGAGCAAGAGCAAGAGCAUUUCUUGCUUUAUCAUAAGUCUGCACUUGAGCAAUUUAUGAGGCAAAGUACAUCAAAAGAGAAUCCAAAAGAGGCAAGAAGCUUCAACAUGAAAAAAGGAGUACUGCCUCAUCAUACUGCUUUGCAAUCACAGUGCAAAAGAUAACAUCAACAAAAUCAAAUUCUAGCAUAAAUCCAUAUGCACUACCUUAAGCUGAUUUGUAGACAAAAGACCCGUUUGGGGCAGCUGCGCGGUUGCAGCGCAGCUGUCCCAAACGGGUCCAAUCAGAAACCCAAAAUCAAGUUCUGGAGUUGAAAAUCAAAAUCAUGAACCAAAUCAGAGUUAUUAUUGAAUUAGACAAUCCAUAAACCAAUAGAAGGUAAAACAAAAAGGAAUAAAAAUUCUUCUAAAUUCUUUCACCAUCAACAAAAUCAGUAAAACACAUACUAAUUCAAAAUGACAUAAAGUUUGUGAAUUGAAAUAAUGCCAACUCCUAAGAAAAAUUAUGACUGCUGAUAUUUUUUCCGAAAUGCUGAUAAAAGCUUCUGCUAUUUACUUUGAAAAAAUAGAGGUUAGAAGCCAAUUUACUUGAAAUUUUGAGUUUAGGCAAGAGGAUGAAUGGCAAAAGUGAAACAAUUUAGGGAAAAAUGUACUUCAGAGGCCAAUGAAAGCAUUCAGAAGAUUGAAAUCUAAAUAAGCAAAACCCCGUGGCCUUGAUCCAACAAAUCCACUGCUGUUGACAUGCCUGCAAGCCCAGCUCCAAUAAUAGCCACUUUCAGCUUUGGUCCUCUAUAAUGUUCCGGUUCUGGUAGAAACAAACCCUUGGGAGCUGCCAAGUAUACCAUCCAAUUAUCCACAGCGAUAAUGGAAAUAUAUAUGUGUUUAAAGGUACUAAAUUCCUAAACAUGAAAUGUAUCCAAAGAGAGACACAAAGCAGAAUUGUGAAACCCAAUAAAUUUUAAGAAUACAAAAUACUCGGUCUGUUCCUCAAUUCCUUUAAUAAAAUUUCCACUAGAGGCUCCGGAAGCCACUCAAUAACACUCCAAAGCCAGAUUUUAAACGUUCUCUUUAUCUUUAACUACAAUCCACAAACAAUUCUGCCACAAAUUCAAUUCAAAAUUGUUCAAGUGCACCGCCACUUCUCCAUCAAUUCCCUCAAAAAUUCAUAAUUGGCAAACACUACAAACCAAAAAGAGCUUCCAGCAAUAAACGCAUAAAAAUCCACCAAGCAACAUAAAACAAAAUACCCAGAAACCAGAAAAGCCAAAAGAUCAAUGCUUGGCAAACAAGCCAAUCAAAUAAAACAAAAAGAAGAGAAAUUUACCAUUAACGCUCAUAUCAGAAACAUUAGUGUCCAAAGAAGCCCGUACACGGAAUCUUGGAUCCUUCACUUGAACCCGAGACCAUGUAACGCCAGUAACUGAAGUUGCAGGAAACAGAACUGAAGAACCCAUAUUGCAAAUCCUGAGCUGAAAUCAAAGAAAUUCAAUUGGAACUCAAUUCAGCUCAACCGAGCGGAGCUCUCUUUUGCUUCAAUAACAAAGUGUUUUUCUUUCAUAUCAACAAAGAUUUGUCAACAUCAACAAAAUUUAACUAAGAAACUAAAAAUAAUGCGGUAUCUUUGAGUUUAAGAAUCUAACAAAGAUUUGUCGACAUCAGGGAACUGUUUCGGAGAGGUUGGCCAAGUGCAUUUUUGUUUUUUUCUUGUUUUGCCCUUUUCAUUAAUGCACAACAUUAGUCCACGUGAAGAGCACAAAAUGCUGGUGGCUUUGUCACUAACGAUAAUGGAUGGAGUGUCCAAAGCAACCAACUAAAUUUUAAAGAGAGGGAAUGAUAAGUAAUAUCUUAAUGGGGUGAUUAAUUAAUUUAUUAUCAAGCAAUUGUAUUUAUUUAUUUAAAAGAUAUCCUUAUCUUUGUACAAGGUUUGAGGAAAGACGACGAUGUUGUGUUGUCACAUAUUUUUACGUUUCUCCAUAAUUCACUGCAACAUCAACUGGGCCACCACCUCUUGCCUCUCCCGGUUCCCCUCAAUUUUCUUAUUCAAUGUCCACCGUUGAUUGUACAUUUAUUGAAAUUCUGUGGUUAUUGUUUUUUUGCAUACAUUUAAUUCCACACGGUCUAUGAAUAGAGCAGGUGCAUCGUAGUUGUGGCCUUAACUGUUAUUGGUAACUCAAUAGCUAAUUCUAAUGUUUCAUCAAGCAGUUUAGAGAUAACCUCUCUCGCUGAACUCCCCGGAGUAACGCAAUCCAGUUUUCCAGUGCAAUCAUCAGACAGUUGAACAGCUUCUGAAUUCCCUUUGCUUUUCUUGUUUUCUUUUCCAUGUAAAGGGAGCUCAGGCUUCAAUAUAUCUGGGGAUUGAGUACUAAUGAUAAAGACAACAUACGAUAGAGGACACAAAUUGUUAUUAAAGAAUGACGCACUUUUCAACUGAGUACAGUAAAGCAAGAAUGGGUAAUUAGUUUUACCUGCAACGUGAAAAUCUAGACUCCCGACGGUAACCGAUCUUUGGUGAAGCAAAUAAAGAAGAAGGCGAAGUAAAAUUCACUGAGUUGAAUGAGCAAUCAUUACGUAUGGACUUGAUUUGUUCAAUGGGUGAAAGACUGCUGAUAUAAUUAAAGACUGGAGAAUCCUGCACGUUGACAAGCAUCAUUUUUAAUAUAACAUAGAGUCUUAAAAACCUAGUCAGUGGCAAAUGAUCACGACAAGCAAACUGAAGUACAAACAGCAGAGCUCAACAAAUCAUUAAGAGAAAAUAAGACCAUUAACCAAGCAGAUAAAAGAAACGCAAAAUAACCCAUCUCAAAUCACCGCAUGCACAAUUUAAGGGGGUUGUGACAUGGGUUUAAGCAUGAUUUAACAAGUGCCACCAGUGAAUUCUCAGAGAUUGAAUUUUCAUACACAUGCAAAUUUCCAAGUCCAACGAAUUGUUGUCUUUCUGAAGAUAUUAACGUUGCAUAGCAUGCUAUAAAUAAAUCAUAUUAUUAGGGCCUUUCUUUGCUGUACACAACAUAUGUACAGAGGAACAAAUCCAUGAGCUGAAAUCAUCAUAUUCCAAAAUAUUCUACCCAAUCAACACUACAAAACCCUAACGCUAAACAGAAUUGGAGCAAUGUACGAAAGCUAUUUGUCACACAAAGCACUGGUACCUCAGAACCCAAUUUUCAAAAAAGCAACAAAAAUGAAAAAUAGCAAGUGCCCAGAUGCAAAAUCAGGAAAAAAAUGCUCAAAUCCAAACUACAACCCCAUAAGCUGAGAUUGACCUCAAACUUGGAAACGGAAGCGACAGUGAUCUGUUUCUUGUCUGAAGUGUCCAUUUCUCUCGCUCCGCCACAAAGCCUCUUCACUCUGAAGCUGAAACUCACCACGCACUUGCAAAACGAAAGCAUUUGAUUGAUUGAGAGGCGGGAAGGCGGGAAAACGAGAGAAAUUUGCUUUUGUUUUUUCUUCGUUUGGUCAUACAUCUGCAGGCCCCAGGUUGACAAGCGUUAUUACUACUACUUGCAUUAUUUGAAGGACGCGUGUCAUGCAACGAUGAUGGAAAAAGUGGUGCAAAACUUCAAUGGUCACGAAAUGACGAUAAAACAAAAAUAUAUGGUUAAUUUUUCACUUAACAUUGGAAUAUCAUAUAAUUUUAUGGUCAUUUUCUCGCUGUUACGCCACAUUCUUUUGAUAAAAUAAUAUGGUUAAACUUUUCUAUAAUCAUGAUAUUAGAACCCAAUUAACUUUAUUUCUAUAAAGUGGUUAUAGCUUAAUAAAGGUAAAAUUGUAAAAAAUAUUAUUUUGACUUAAUUAUCUUUAGUGCAAGUGAUAUAAAAAAUAAAUAUAUGAUAAUUAAUUAAUAAAUUAUGUCAAAUAUAAUAUAUGGACAAUGAUAAAAAAGAUAGACAUAAUUUCAAAAAACUAAUAUAUAUGUUUUUGUAGUGCUGGGAUUAUACAAAGUUAUCUUAAAAGUGUAAAGAGUAAAGUAUUAGAUUGGAUUGAAUUAUAUAUAGUGCUGACUUAUGUUUGGUAUGAUAUUGUAUUAGAUUAUGUUAAAUUAAAUUUACAUGAAAUUAAAUAGUAUUUACAUUAAUAUUUGAAUUUAAAUAUCAACUAUUUAUAGAUAUUUAACAAUAAAUAUUAUAAUUAAUUAAAAACAGCACUAAUAAGGGGUGUGUGUGUGUGUGUGUAUUCAUUUAGUUAUUGGGUAGUCAUAAUUAUAAUAAAGAAAUAUAAACUAUUUAAAUUAUAGGUUAUUUCAAAGAGUAAUGAGAGAUAUCAUUUCAUUAAAUAAAAUAAAUAAAACUAUUCAAAUAAUAAAUUAAUUAAUAAAUUUUAAGUAAAUCAUGAAUAAAAAAGAAAUUACUUAAUUAAAAACAAUAAAUAAAUAAAUAAUUUUUAAGUUAUAAAUAAAAUUGUGUAAUAAAUUAUGGAAGAUAUUAUAAAUACACAAAUAUUUUUUUCACAUUAUCUAGUCCCAACUAAACCCACAUAAAAAUUAGAAUUAGCAAUCCCAUGAAUUUAGGAUUAAAAUUUGAAUUUAGUCCAUUAAUCCAAUCCAAGUGAGCAUGCCAAACAUAGUAUUAAUAUUUUAUCCCAAUAAUAAGUCCAAUCCUACACUAAAUCCUACCUCCCAAACAUAACCUUAAGAAUCUAUUGACAUGUGUCAUUAAUGAAAUUAAAUGGCUAAAAUUUUGUUUUAAUUAAUUUUUACCUAAAUAGACAUCAAAACUCAUGUGUGACUCUUGUUAAUCUUUUUCUUACAAUUUCUUUUCCUCUUAAUUCUUUAUAUUUUGACACCGAUUUCUAGCAAAUUAUUAAAAAAAAGAAAAGGAGCACAAAUUGGAGAAAAGUGAUUGACAACAAGGUUUGCAUCUUAAUUUCAAAAUUUUCCUUUCUUUGUUGUUGUUUUUUUUUUUUUUGGGUUCUAUAAUUGUUGUUUUCACUCUCACUUACAAUUCAAUGAACUAAAUUAGUAUUGCUACUUAUAAACUGCUAUUACCGGGCAUAUAAUUUUAUUGCUACAAUUUUACUGCUGUUUAGCUAUUUUUCUGAGUUUUUAGUUGUUGUUCUAUUGUCUCUUUGGGGUUUGCAACUGAUGUUUGCUGUUUUUCUAUGAAACAAUUAAAUUCUUUUGCUGCUACAUUUUUUGUUGUUCUAUUAUGGCCGGGACGUAUGUGAAAGGGAAAGAAUCUACCCAAAAAAAAAAAUGACAAAGAGUCACAUGUGAGUUUAGAUGUAUUUUUAAGUAAAAAUUAAUUAAAACAAAAUCUUGGCCCAUUAAAUAACUUAAUAUAAUCAAUUUGUUCUUAAUAACUUAAUAUUAUUUAAUCUAUAGAAGCAAGAUCCUCGAAGACAAAACCUAUAAAUAAUUUAAUAUAAUGAAUUGAUUCUUAAUCUACUCCAAAUUGAGACUACAAUUUUUUACUUAAAAAUUGGCUAGCUAACUUUACCUUGAUGGGCUGACUAUCGCCCAUACAUAUUUCUUCAAAUUUAUUAAUAUUUUUGUGCAUAGCAAUUAGGGUUACGUGACAACGAAUUCUCCUUUUAGUAUAUAAAAAGUAUACUCACAAGUAGUGUAGUGUUCCCCUCCUAAAGGGCAUAGCUCACUGACUUUUAGUCUCUUUCUUCAGUUGACGACUCCAGUUAGACUCUUCAAUGAGAUUAAAGAUUGAAUAUAUCAAAAAUAUUAGCAAUAUUUGUGCUUAUAUUUAACAAAACUAGAGUAAUAUAUUGAUUAAUCUACAUAAUUUUAGGCGGGUUCUUAGGUAAUGUUACAAUUACAUAGAUUAUUUUCACAGUAUAAGCCAAAUCUUAAGAAUUAAUUACUUGAAUAAAAGGAAUAAAGGAUGAUCGAUAAAAGUAAAACAAAGAAAAUAAAUUAUGCCGUUAAAUUGGGAUAUUUGGCUGCCUUAAUCGCUAGAGAUGCUUCUCCAAAACCCGCGUGUAAACAAAACACAUAUUUUUAACAUAACAAUAGCCCAAGCACAUAAACAAGAGUGAAAGCCGAGGAAUCAAUUUCAUUACUGUUCACUAGUAUUUUCAAUUUCAUUAUUUCAUUAACUGUCAUUGAUAAAAAAAAAAAAAAAAACUCAAUUUGAGAUGUUAUACAUUACUUUUCAUUACUUCCCAUUUCAAACAUAUUUAUCAUAUAUAGUCUUAGUAGCUUGUAACCCUUUCUGGUAAGGGUAAAAUAUUUCUUACCCCUUUGAUUUCUGAGAUUGUCCUCACAAUAAUGAUGCUGGCCCCAAUUUCUAAAACUACUAUCUCUAUGAGUAAAUUCCUUAUAAAUUUUCUUUUAAUUGAAAAUAUUUAAACAAUUGAAGAUAAAUUAAUUUAUUUUUUUAUUCGAAUGAAAAUUCAAUUAAACACUUAAAUAAGCUAUUCCUUUAACAAUUCUUUUCACACCCAUCAUGUUUCGUAAUUUAUAUUUAUAUUUAUAUUUUAAAAUUUAAUUGAAAAUACUUUUUGAGAAACUUUUAAGAAUUAAGAAUCAUGGAGAAAAAAAUGAUUUAAUAUGAAGAAAAUAGUUUAAAAUCUUAAGAUUUGUAUGUUUUAUAAAUAAAAACUUGAAAAAAUACUCUUUCCGAGAAAAGAUUUAAUCAGAAAAUGAUUAAUUUUUAAUUUAUGAAUUAAUAUUUUAUAAAUUAAACUAGGGGUAUUUUAAGGAAUAUAAUUAAAAAAGAGUGUCAUAAGGAUAUUUAGGGGUGUUAGAAGCCAUACUCAUUUACAUAAGCCAUGGGAGUUAGGGUAUUGGGUUUCUUUUUGUUUUGUAUGAAUUGGGAAAAAUACAGAGACAGACAAAGGGAACAGUCAUUACAAAGCUGUGAAGCGUGUGGGAGAUACCCAUUUGUAGCUUAAACUCCUAGGGUAUUGUUUCUGUCUUUCUCUUUCUCACUUUCUCAUGCAGCAGAUGUACAUAUCAUGAAAUAGCCAUACAUAGUUGGUUAGGCCUCCAGUCCAUUAACUUAAUAAUGAAUUUUAUGAAAAUUGAUUAUCUCAUUGGAAUUACAUGGAUAUUGGAAAGCAUUACUCCAGCCCCACCAUCCCAACAAUUUACUAAGUUCAUCAGUAAAAGCUGGAUUUUCCAUUUGUUCUUGAGAUUCAAAUUAAGGCAGCAGAUUGCUCAUCCCAUACUAUCCAUGUAAUCUUGUAAAAGUGAAGGGCGUUUAGAUGUGGAAAAACCUUACUCCUGCCGCAACGCCUCAAACAGAUUGUGAUCAGACAAGACUUAGGUCAUCAUUAGUAGUAGUUGGAACUUCCAUUUGUUCUUGAGAUUCAAAGGCAGCAAGCUGCUUCCUCAGUGCUACUAAUUCUUCCCUGGCAUUGCAUAUGUACGCUGAGGCUUGUCUACCAGACAAACUUGCUCCUUCCAUGAUAUCUAUGUAAUCCUGUGAGAGUGAAACCAUUUAGGACACAUAUCUCUUUUUUUCUAUUGAUCGUGACAUAUUUGGAAUGAAACAAUUAUAAACAGUGACCUGUUUUGUAUAUGAGCCAGCAAGGAACAAGUUCUUCACUUGUGUCUUUUGAUCAGGUCUGAAGGGGUCUUUACCAGGUCCCUCAUGGUACAAAGACUGCCCGAUUUUGACAACAGAUGACCAAAUAACUUCUAAACCUUGGGACAAUGGAAAUAGAGCUAAAACCUGAUAAAAGGAACCGUGAAUGGAUAAUAUGAACAGAUGUAUAUCAUCCAGAAAGUUGCAUGACCUUUUGCAGGGCUCAAAGUCACUAAAAAAUGUGAGAUAUACAUCUAGGAUAAGAAAAACGAAAAAGCGUAACCUAAUAUGUAUUAUAUGAAUUGAAGGUGUCACUGAACACUACCAACCUGCUUUGCCACUCUCCUAAUGAUUUCAUCAUUUGGUAAGGGCAUGUAAGGAUCGCCGGGCGUUAAAACGCAUCUGAAAGAUAAUUCAGUUAUAGUAAGCAACACAGAAUACAAAGACACUUGGCAAAAGGAAGUCAACCAGAUUCCAUGACACAAAAUGAAACUAAUAAUGGCGAAACUUCUCUGUAGUAGUCUUCUGGUGAAGUGAGUGCCAGAUCUGCAAAGCAAGAGAAAUCAGCAUGUGGAGUAUACAAAAGAUCAUCUAAUCCCAGAGCUUGCCUCAAUUGCCUACAUGUUCAAAACAAGGAUCCGUUAAAAAAUGGAAAUUUGUUCAAUGCAUUAGCAAAGGGAAGUGAAGUGAAAGCUGAUUUCUUAGGCCUUUAAAGAGCUUCUUUUGAUUGAAUUCCUGUAACCUCACAAAAGAUUAGAGCAUCACCUUGACCGUUCUAGGUCUUGCAACUCAGUAACCCAACCAUUGUAUCUAAGCUGCACUGUCACAACAGGCACUCCAACUAGCUCAUAAAUAUUGUUGAAAAACUUCAUUUCCCUCCACGAUGAUGGAAGUAAUCGUUUAAUUCCAGGGACAUCACAUGCUGCCAUUAAAUAGGAAGUUGAAUAAAGGUAAAACAUUCACCUAAAUGAUUCAGGAGAACAAAAAAGCACAAGUAGGAAUAAAUAAGGAGGAUUUAACCACAAACCUGUAACAUAUGCUUCAGCUUGCACAACCUUCUUGUCAGUGGCCUGAAACAGAACCAGAACCUCUAAGACCAUAAGCAUUAAAUAAUAAACGCAAAGUAGCUGCUUCUAACAGAUGAUAUAAACAACUGAUUUACAAAUGUCUGGUCAUUGCAUUACCUCCAUCAGAGGGAUUAUCAAUAGACGAGUAAAAAAAUAAAUAACUAAACUAGCUUUUGCCGCCUAAUUAGAACCAUGUGAGAAACAAUUACCUUAGACAUGGCAAGUCCUUUGACAUAUGUUUCUCCAUUAGCAGAUUUAUCAUAAAGUAUCUCUCUGCAUCCCCACCUAAGAUGGAACCUGUUCUAGCAAAAACAGACCCCAAGGUUAGGAAAAUCAGUAGGAGAAAACAAACAAGAUUAACAAAUCACUGCAAUGAUGUGAACCUGUAAAUAGAAAUUUACCUGCCCCCUUUAUCUGUGAUAUGUUUUCGUAUGGGCGCACUCAAAUAAGCGUCUGGAGAACCCUUGAGCAUCCGCAAUAGGGCAUAAGCAACAGGAUCCCACAUUCUCUGAAUACUCGUCCGUGUCCCACCUUUGGACAAAAACCAAUCAGAGAAGCUUAUCUGUAAGAAGAAAUGAAGUUUUAGGUAAGAUAACAAUUUGUAGGAACAAGGAUUGAUAUUAAAACAAACUAGAAAAUAAGAUGUCAUUCUUACACUAUCCAAAUCUCCUACGUCCUUCAAGGCUCCAUCAGGAUCAACGAGUGCCCUUACAACAGGACUCAGAGCAAGAGCAAGAGCAUUUCUUGCUUUAUCGUAAGUCUGCACUUGAGCAAUACAUGAGGCAAAGUACAUCAAAAAAGAAUCCAAAAGAGGCAAGAAGCUUCAACAUGAAAGAAGAAAUACUGUCUUAUCAUACCGCUAACUAAUCAGAGUGCAAAAGAUUACAUCAACAUAAUCAAAAUGGAACAUAAAUCCAUAUGCACUACCUUAAGCUAAUUUGUAGACAAAAAUGCGCGAAUCCCAUGUAAGGGAGCUCCGACUGGAAACCGGAAAUCAUGUUCUGGAGUUAAAAAUCAAAAUCAUGAACUUAAUCAGAGUUAUUAUUGGACUAGACAAUCCACAAACCAAUUUCAGAGUGUCCAACCACCAAACAUAACUAUCAGUAGUCUUAAGUGAUCAAGAAAUAACCAUACCACCAAUUUCACCACCCUUAUUCACAAAUGUAUGAGUAUGAUCCUUCAUGAGUAAAUUUUUUUGUGUCCGCACUGACCUGUAGACAUCCAUGAAAAACUAUCAGAUUAUAAACACAGGGUCAAUUUAAAGAGGAGCUAUGAUUCUGAUCCAUCAUGAUAUUUGAAGAACAUUUUCAUAUUUUCCUACAACGAGUAAACUAUAACCAGUUAUCAUCACUAUAGAUGGCAUGGUCAAGAGAAAUUAUAGUUCUUGUUUCAAGAAUCUCAAAUCAUAAUUCCUUUGCAUGGCUAGUGUGCUUUUAUAAUCAUUCAAACACACUUAUCCACAACUAAGCAAGCUUUACCUUUUUCAUCAAUCGGAACAGAUUAUUGUAGCAUCCAAAGAAAAUGUGCAGGCCCAUUUCAAUAUGGUUUCCAUGUUUAUCAAUAAAUGAACCCACUUUACCACCAAUGAAAGACCUUGACUCAUAUAUAUCCACCUGGAAGGGGGGGGAAUCUUCUAAUUUCUUUCACCAUCAACAAAAUCAGUAAAACACAUACUAAUUCAAAAUGAAAUAAACUUUGUGAAUUGAAAUAAUGCCUGCUCUAAAGAAAAUGAUAACUGCUAUUCAUUUUUCCGAACUGCUGAUAAAAGCUUCUGCUAUUUACUUUGAAAAAAUUGAGUAACUUCAAAUUUUCAGUUUAGGCAAGAGGAUGAAUGGUAAAAGUGAGACAUUUUAGGGGAAAAGAAAAUACUUGAGAGGCCAAUGAAACAUUGAAAGAUUGAAAUCUAAAUGAGCAAAACCUCAUGGCCUUGAUCCAACAAUUCCCCUGCUGUUGACAUGCCUGCAAGCCCAGCUCCAAUAAUAGCCACUUUCAGCUUUGGUCCUCUAUAAUGUGCCGGUUCUGGUGGAAACAAACACUUGGGAGCUGCCAAGUAUACCAUUCAAUUAUCCACAGGGAUAUUGGAAAAACAUACAUGUUUGAAAGUACUAAACAUCAAAUGUCUCCCGAAAAAAAUACAAAGCACAAUUGCAUAAGCAUUUCAUUUCCCAAUAAAUUUCAAGAAUACAAAAUACUUGGUCUGUUCUUGAGUUCCUUCAAGAAAAUUUCCACUAGAGAGCACGCAAGCCACUCAAUAACACUCCAAAGUCAGAUUUUAAACGUUAUCUUGAUCUAUAAGUACAAUCCAUGAACCAUUCUGCCACAAAUUCAAUUAAAAAUUAUUCAAGUAAAAUGCCAAAUUCUCCAUCAAUAGCCUCAAAAAUUCAUAACUAGCAAACACUACAGAACAAAAAGAGCUCCCAGCAAUAAACACAUAAAAAUCCCACCAAGCAACAUAAAUCAAAAUACCCAGAAACCAGAAAACCCAAAAGAUCAAUACUUGGUAAACAAACAAAUCAAAUCAAAUAAAACAAAAAGAAGAGAAAUUUACCAUUAACACUCAUAUCAGAAACGUAAGUAUCCAAAGAAGCCCGUACACAGAAUCUUGGAACCUUCACUUGAACCCGAGACCAACAAACACCAGUAACUGAAGUUGCAGGAAAAAGAAGUGAAGAACCCAUAUUGAAAUAAAAGAAUCCAAACCCAAAGUCCCACAUCUAAAUAUGAUGGAUCCACUCCAUGCGGCAAUAUGAAAUUUAAGCUCUCUUUUCUUAUGUCACCCAAGGCAUUGGCAGGAUGGCCAAACACCUGAGUUCAAGUCUACAAUAGAGAAUCGAAAUUUUCCUUUGUAAAUGUUCAUAAGUAUUUACCACAGAUAUUCAAGUUAUUCUUGAUAGAUCCCCUACUAUAUAUGCUAUAAUAUUUCUCUUCUUUUAAUUUAAAAGUAAAUCAUUCAUAAUAUCGGACUUGUAAAGAAAUAAAAUUUUCGGUAAUUAACUGACAAAACAAAAAAAGAUGGAUUAUGCGAAAGAAGUUAAUAUGGAGUAAGUCGAGCACUUGACAAUCAAAGUAAUUUACUCGAGGUUGAGUAAGGAUAGUACGAUACUUUCUCAAGUUUUCUGAGGACAUUCACGUGACAUUGGACUAUUGAUUAUAGUUAGAGAGAAGUCCAAGGAUGUAAGUGAUGAUGAUAGAUUCACAAUUCUUUUGAAGAAAAUAUUUUAUAUAAACUUAAUUAUAUGGUAUAAAAUGAUUGGCCUUAAUAAAAUUAAAAAAUAAUACACGCCUGGGUCAUGUAAUAUUUUCAACCAACUAAUUUACAUGCAAAAUUAAACUUUAUGAGUACAUUUAUUUGCUAGCAGAAACUCUGCCAAAUUUUCCGAAAUGUGAAAGUGAACACUUUUAACAACGUCACAAAAUGCAUGUGAUAAUGAAACAAUGUGCCAUCCUUAAACUAAUAUUAUUAGAAACUAUAAGUGAAAGUUUUCAGAAAACAUAUGAUAAAUUUUUCUCGGAAUUUGUUUUCUCCUUUGUUUUGAUUUAUGUGAGAGAUAGUUGUAAAGCGUAAAAUUUUAAAAUCCGUAACAAAACAAAAACUUACAUGGGUUGGGCGCACCAUGUGCAUACCAAAUUAGAAUAAUUGACGAAUCGUAAUAAAAAAUUUAUAUAUAAUAAUUGAAUGAGAUCCAUGGUUCACAAUUGCAAAUUAAAGGUUGGUUUUAUAAUAAAAAUCUUUUUUUGCAUACCAAGUUAGAAAAGAUUAUAAGUAAAUUAAGAUUUUCAAAAUUUGACUAGUAUUAUAUUACGUACGUCAAUAUAAUAUAAAUUUGUUAUAUAUAUAUAUAUUUUACUCUGCAACCAAUGCUUUCAAAAACUUUUUACUUGUAUGUUUGAACAACUUUUAUCGCUUUCUAUUUAUAUACGAUCUCAUUUAUGUUUACAUAAAUUUUCAUAUGUACCCAAAUUAAGCAUUAAAUACACACACUUUGGUAAGACACAUUUCUAGUAUCAGACAAUGAUAUUAUAUUGAAUGUAAUGCUUCAAUGAAUUUUAUUACUAUAUACUAAAAUACUCAACGAUAUUCAUUAAAAAAAAAAAAGAAAUUGCAUGAUUAGAAUGAUUAAAGUUCAUUUAAUGACGAGUUUCAUCAUUGACUGUGUCGAAACACAACAGCAAUCCACAAUACACUCAACACGAGAGGCGCACACAAGCAUGCAUGAAUCUUCCACCAUUAAACCUGAAAUCAUAAAAUGAAAGAAACAAGGUGAGUGUUGUUUUACGGUCUGAAAGCCGAUUCGAAAUAAUAAUAAUAAUAGACCUUUGUUAAUAGUUACUACUAGUGGUCACUGCCUUGUCCAUCUUCCUUCUCUGUAUCAUCGUCCACUUCCAAGCCGCUGUCAUCUGACCAAACCCCAGCAACCAUCGCGGGAAAAAUCACCUAUUUGGAGUGAGAGGGAAAAAGCUGAUUGUUGAGAAAUAUAUGUAUCUUUUGUAUGGUUGUGUUAAGGUCACCCAUGCAAGCAGAACGUGCUUCAGUCCCCCAUGCUUUACUCCCCCACUGCACUUCGUGUAAUUUGGGUGUACUUAAAUUUCCUUCAGAGAAAAUCUUCAUAUCGAGGCAAUCACCCACCACUAAUCUUUCCAAAGAUGGGAACUUGAAAGCACAAUUGCCAGAGCAGAAGCUUGUCAAACUUUUUAAGUCUAAAAGCUUCAACUCCUUCAAUUCUCUGAAAGUAAUAACCUCAUCUUUUGCUACAACAUCAUCCACCAGUACUAUUUCUGUUAUCUUAUCGCAUGAUUCUAUCUCCAUAUAUCUAAGUCGCACCAGAGUCUUUGCAAUUGAGGAUGUUAAUACGAUUUUCAAUCCUUUGCAACACGAUACCACCAGAUUUGUAAGAUUCUGAAAGGACGUCGACGAUGGCACUAGAUUGACCAAACGGUCACACC
rnacentral:lncRNA from 1 species